UGUAAAUUUUCGGGUUGAAAGUUCAGUUGUCUCAACAAUUUUCUCUUUCAGUUUACCAGAGACUUCCUGUUUUGGUUUGAAUGUUUUCGGACAAUUCCUAGCAACAUGACCAACAGUUUUACACUGAAAACAGGUUCUCGUUUCUAUGUUCUUGUGAACAACAUUCUUCUUCAUGUCCUCUUGCUUCUUGGCAAGGAAUUCUUUGUUCGUCUGCUUUUUGAAUACUUGUUCUUUCUCAGCUUCUGAAGUUUUUCCUGCAACAAAUACAGACCUUUCUUUUUGAAAUUACGAUUAUGGUUUGAUUUCUUUUGGAAAUUAUAACCACAAUUGUAACCCAUUUUCUUGUAAUUCUUUAUUGAUCUCUUGAAGUGUAUUGUUUAGGUUUUCCAGAAAGAUUUAAAUCUUUUAUUUCAGAAAUAUUAAUUUCUGUAAUUUUGAAAACCUUUUUAAUCAUUUCAACUCUAACACUUCUUAUUGGAAAAAUUUCAUCAGAAUAUAAUUUGUCAGAACCUUUCAAAGUAUAUGCUACUUUGAUCUGUUCAUCAUUCAACUUAGAUUUU
rnacentral:lncRNA from 1 species